rnacentral:rRNA from 1 species
UACGUAGGGUCCAAGCGUUAUCCGGAAUCACUGGGCGUAAAGCGCACGUAGGCGGCUCAGCAAGUCCCAUGUGAAAUCCCACGGCUUAACCGUGGAAGUGCAUGGGAAACUGCUGAGCUUGAGUACUUAAGAGGAUCGCGGAAUUCCCGGUGUAGAGGUGAAAUUCGUAGAUAUCGCGAGGAACACCAGUGGCGAAGGCGGCGAUCUGGGAAGAUACUGACGCUGAGGUGCGAAAGCGUGGGGAGCAAACAGG